rnacentral:rRNA from 1 species
CUACGGGUGGCAGCAGUAGGGAAUAUUGCUCAAUGGGGGAAACCCUGAAGCAGCAACGCCGCGUGGAGGAUGAAGGUUUUCGGAUUGUAAACUCCUUUUGUUAGAGAAGAUAAUGACGGUAUCUAACGAAUAAGCACUGGCUAACUCCGUGCCAGCAGCCGCGGUAAUACGGAGGGUGCAAGCGUUACUCGGAAUCACUGGGUGUAAAGAGCGCGUAGGCGGGAUAGCAAGUCAGAUGUGAAAUCCUAUGGCUUAACCAUAGAACUGCAUUUGAAACUGUUAUUCUAGAGUAUGGGAGAGGUAGGUGGAAUUCUUGGUGUAGGGGUAAAAUCCGUAGAGAUCAAGAGGAAUACUCAUUGCGAAGGCGACUUGCUAGAACAUAACUGACGCUGAUGCGCGAAAGCGUGGGGAGCAAACAGGAUUAGAUACCCUAGUAGUC